CAUGCAGCUGAGCGCCAAACGGCUGCAGCCACUUCUUCUCUGACCCGCAGCAUCAGACAAACAGAAAAUUUGCAGCAUAAUGCCAAGAAAAGAGAGACGCCAAAGGCAGAAGGACAGGGAACUGCAGCAAGCAGCUCGGGGUAGCAGCUCUCUUUUAUCUUGGAUCAGGCCAUCAACUUCUAAAAAAGAUGAGUGAGAAUCAACAACCCUACCUAGUCCAGAGGAGUCCAUCACAUCACUAACCCUAACAUAUUUGGUUAUUCAAUAUGGCCUUGUUUUGUCUGUUUUUGCCUGUUAUUCAUUUAUUUAUUCAAAUUGAUAAUUUGAGUUAGUUUGUUAACAAAAAUAAAUAUAGAAGUUGAAACUA